UUAUUUUACCUUGUUGCUUCGGCGGGCCCGCCUUAACUGGCCGCCGGGGGGCUUACGCCCCCGGGCCCGCGCCCGCCGAAGACACCCUCGAACUCUGUCUGAAGAUUGUAGUCUGAGUGAAAAUAUAAAUUAUUUAAAACUUUCAACAACGGAUCUCUUGGUUCCGGCAUCGAUGAAGAACGCAGCGAAAUGCGAUACGUAAUGUGAAUUGCAAAUUCAGUGAAUCAUCGAGUCUUUGAACGCACAUUGCGCCCCCUGGUAUUCCGGGGGGCAUGCCUGUCCGAGCGUCAUUGCUGCCCUCAAGCACGGCUUGUGUGUUGGGCCCCGUCCUCCGAUCCCGGGGGACGGGCCCGAAAGGCAGCGGCGGCACCGCGUCCGGUCCUCGAGCGUAUGGGGCUUUGUCACCCGCUCUGUAGGCCCGGCCGGCGCUUGCCGAUCAACCCAAAUUUUUAUCCAGGUUGACCUCGGAUCAGGUAGGGAUACCCGCUGAACUUAAGCAUAU
rnacentral:rRNA from 1 species